rnacentral:rRNA from 1 species
CGCGUGCACUGAUCGGCCGGGCCUUUCCUUCUGGAGAACCCCAUGCCCUUCACUGGGCGUGCGGGGGAACCAGGACUUUUACUGUGAGAAAAUUAGAGUGUUCAAAGCAGGCCUUUGCUCGAAUACGUUAGCAUGGAAUAAUAGAAUAGGACGUCGCGGUUCUAUUUUGUUGGUUUCUAGAACCGCCGUAAUGAUUAAUAGGGACAGUCGGGGCCGUCAGUAUUCAAUUGUCAGAGGUGAAAUUCUUGGAUCUAUUGAAGACUAACUACUGCGAAAGCAUUCGGCAAGGAUGUUUUCAUUAAUCAGUGAACGAAAGUUAGGGGAUCGAAGACGAUCAGAUACCGUCGUAGUCUUAACCGUAAACUAUGCCGACUAGGGAUCGGGCGAUGUUUUUAUCUUGACUCGCUCGGCACCUUACGAGAAAUCAAAGUUUCUGGGUUCUGGGGGGAGUCUGGUCGCAAGGCUGAAACUUAAAGAAAUUGACGGAAGGGCACCACAAGGCGUGGAGCCUGCGGCUUAAUUUGACUCAACACGGGGAAACUCACCAGGUCCAGAUGAAAUAAGGAUUGACAGAUUGAGAGCUCUUUCUUGAUUUUUCAGGUGGUGGUGCAUGGCCGUUCUUAGUUCGUAGGGUGACUCGUCAGCUUGAUUGCGAUAACGAACGAGACCUUAACCUGCUAAAUAGCCAGGCUAGCUUUGGCUGGUCGCCGGCUUCUUAGAGGGACUAUCUG